rnacentral:rRNA from 1 species
GGCUUAGAGUUUGAUCAUGGCUCAGGAUGAACGCUAGCUACAGGCUUAACACAUGCAAGUCGAGGGGCAUCAGGAAGAAAGCUUGCUUUCUUUGCUGGCGACCGGCGCACGGGUGAGUAACACGUAUCCAACCUGCCCUUUACUCGGGGAUAGCCUUUCGAAAGAAAGAUCAAUACCCGAUGGCAUAAUGAUUCCGCAUGGUUUCAUUAUUAAAGGAUUCCGGUAAAGGAUGGGGAUGCGUUCCAUUAGGUUGUUGGUGAGGUAACGGCUCACCAAGCCUUCGAUGGAUAGGGGUUCUGAGAGGAAGGUCCCCCACAUUGGAACUGAGACACGGUCCAAACUCCUACGGGAGGCAGCAGUGAGGAAUAUUGGUCAAUGGGCGCUAGCCUGAACCAGCCAAGUAGCGUGAAGGAUGAAGGCUCUAUGGGUCGUAAACUUCUUUUAUAUAAGAAUAAAGUGCAGUAUGUAUACUGUUUUGUAUGUAUUAUAUGAAUAAGGAUCGGCUAACUCCGUGCCAGCAGCCGCGGUAAUACGGAGGAUCCGAGCGUUAUCCGGAUUUAUUGGGUUUAAAGGGAGCGUAGGUGGACUGGUAAGACAGUUGUGAAAGUUUGCGGCUCAACCGUAAAAUUGCAGUUGAUACUGUCAGUCUUGAGUACAGUAGAGGUGGGCGGAAUUCGUGGUGUAGCGGUGAAAUGCUUAGAUAUCACGAAGAACUCCGAUUGCGAAGGCAGCUCACUGGACUGCAACUGACACUGAUGCUCGAAAGUGUGGGUAUCAAACAGGAUUAGAUACCCUGGUAGUCCACACAGUAAACGAUGAAUACUCGCUGUUUGCGAUAUACAGUAAGCGGCCAAGCGAAAGCAUUAAGUAUUCCACCU